rnacentral:rRNA from 1 species
CCUACGGGUGGCUGCAGUGGGGAAUUUUCCGCAAUGGGCGCAAGCCUGACGGAGCAAGACCGCGUGUGGGAGGAAGGCCUACUGGUUGUAAACCACUUUUGAUAGGGAAGAAGACAAUGACGGUACCUAUCGAAUCAGCCUCGGCUAACUCCGUGCCAGCAGCCGCGGUAAUACGGAGGAGGCAAGCGUUAUCCGGAAUUAUUGGGCGUAAAGCGUCCGUAGGUGGAUGUUCAAGUCAGUUGUUAAAGCGUGGAGCUUAACUCCAUAAAGGCAAU